AGCCAAGUAGCGUGAAGGAUGACUGCCCUAUGGGUUGUAAACUUCUUUUAUAAAGGAAUAAAGUCGGGUAUGCAUACCCGUUUGCAUGUACUUUAUGAAUAAGGAUCGGCUAACUCCGUGCCAGCAGCCGCGGUAAUACGGAGGAUCCGAGCGUUAUCCGGAUUUAUUGGGUUUAAAGGGAGCGUAGAUGGAUGUUUAAGUCAGUUGUGAAAGUUUGCGGCUCAACCGUAAAAUUGCAGUUGAUACUGGAUAUCUUGAGUGCAGUUGAGGCAGGCGGAAUUCGUGGUGUAGCGGUGAAAUGCUUAGAUAUCACGAAGAACUCCGAUUGCGAAGGCAGCCUGCUAAGCUGCAACUGACAUUGAGGCUCGAAAGUGUGGGUAUCAAACAGGAUUAGAUACCCUGGUAGUCCACACGGUAAACGAUGAAUACUCGCUGUUUGCGAUAUACUGCAAGCGGCCAAGCGAAAGCGUUAAGUAUUCCACCUGGGGAGUACGCCGGCAACGGUGAAACUCAAAGGAAUUGACGGGGGCCCGCACAAGCGGAGGAACAUGUGGUUUAAUUCGAUGAUACGCGAGGAACCUUACCCGGGCUUAAAUUGCAGAUGAAUUACGGUGAAAACCGUAAGCCGCAAGGCAUCUGUGAAGGUGCUGCAUGGUUGUCGUCAGCUCGUGCCGUGAGGUGUCGGCUUAAGUGCCAUAACGAGCGCAACCCUUGUUGUCAGUUACUAACAGGUUCCGCUGAGGACUCUGACAAGACUGCCAUCGUAAGAUGUGAGGAAGGUGGGGAUGACGUCAAAUCAGCACGGCCCUUACGUCCGGGGCUACACACGUGUUACAAUGGGGGGUACAGAGGGCCGCUACCACGCGAGUGGAUGCCAAUCCCAAAAACCUCUCUCAGUUCGGACUGGAGUCUGCAACCCGACUCCACGAAGCUGGAUUCGCUAGUAAUCGCGCAUCAGCCACGGCGCGGUGAAUACGUUCCCGGGCCUUGUACACACCGCCCGUCAAGCCAUGGGAGCCGGGGGUACCUGAAGUGCGUAACCGCGAGGAGCGCCCUAGGGUAAAACUGGUGACUGGGGCUAAGUCGUAACAAGGUAGCCGUACCGGAAGGUGCGGCUG
rnacentral:rRNA from 1 species